CUUUCUUCUCAGGCAAGACACAUAAUAGUAAUUCAAUUUCUCAACCUUUGAAUCUCAGAUCUCCGAUUCGAAAUCCGGCGAACAUGGUGAGAGAUAUUGAGGCUGAGAUUAGAGACGACCAAUGACGUAGCAAAGCAUUCUUCGUCAAAGUCUCUGACUCUCUCCACGCCACUUACGUUCCGAUGAAAUCCAACUACGAAAAAGAAGAAUCUUGUUGAGAUGAGGAUGAGUUUGGAUUCCACGAGAAAGAGUUGUUGGGAUCAGAGUCCUCCGGUGAUUCAUCGCCGUGACGCCGCAUUGCUUCUUUCUUCACCACGUCUCAAACCCAAAUCGGGGGUUAGGGCCUUACUCUGCACCUAUCAAGAAAGCUGAGAAAGAGAUUUAAGGAACUCACCAAGAAGAUCAACGAUCUAUGUGGUACCAAGGAGUCUGAUGGUUUAGCUCGUCCCAGUCAAUGGGAUCUUGUAUCUGAUAAGCAAAUGAUGCAAGAGGAGCAACCUCUGCAGGUUGCGAGAUGCACAAAGAUAAUAAUGCCAAACACUGAAGACGCCAAAUACGUGAUCAGUGUCAAUCAAAUUGCGAAGG